rnacentral:misc_RNA from 1 species
UCCGAUUUGGCACCGGCGGUCUCCCAUGAGUCCCCGGCAUGACCCGCUGGCAACAUGGGACAGGGGUUGCGCUCGUUGCGCCACUUAAGGCAACACCUCACGACACGAGCUGACGACAGCCAUGCAGCACCUGUCUCUGCGUUCCCGAAGGCACCAAUCCAUCUCUGGAAAGUUCCGAGUAUGUCAAGGGCAGGUAAGGUUCUUCGCGUUGCAUCGAAUUAAACCACAUGCUCCACCGCUUGUGCGGGUCCCCGUCAAUUCAUUUGAGUUUUAACCUUGCGGCCGUACUCCCCAGGCGGUCUACUUAGUGCGUUAGCUGCGCCACCAAAACCUCAAGGGUCCCGACGGCUAGUAGACAUCGUUUACAGCGUGGACUAC